AUGGUGGAUGGCGGCGCGGAGCUCACCAAGACGACGCCCAUUGCCAACAUCAUCAACCCGGCUCCAUGGAGGACGGAGGCGUGGAGUUCGCGAGGGUGCCGUUGUCGUGCCACGGGGGAUGGUGACACGGAGCUCGCUAAGACGACGCCUGUUGUCUUCUUCAUCAAGAUGACGCCAUGGAGGAUGGAGGCGUGGAGCUCGCGAGGAUGCUGCCACCGUGCCACGAUGGAUGGCGACACAGAGCUCGCCAGUACGACGCCCGUCGUCUUCUUCAUCAAGCCGACGCCAUGGAGGACGGAGGCGUGGAGCUCGCGAGGAUGCCACCGUCGUGUUCCAUGGUGGAUGGCGACACAGAGCUUGCCGGGAUGGCACCCAUCAUCAAAAUCAUCAAGCCGGCGCCAUGGAGGAUGGAGGCGAAGCUCAUGUGGACGUCGCCGCCGCCCCACAGUGUGUGGCGACAUGGAGCUCACUAGGACGUUGCCCAUAAUAAAUAUCAUCUAA
rnacentral:rRNA from 1 species